GACGUAGGAGGCAAGCGUUAUCCGGAGUUACUGGGCGUAAAGCGCGUGUAGGCGGAUUGGUAAGUGGUUCGUGAAAUAUCCGGGCUAAACUCGGAGGGGACGAAUCAGACUGCUAGUCUGGAGGCGGGUAGAGGGGUGCGGAAUUCCGGGUGUAGCGGUGAAAUGUGUAGAUAUCCGGAGGAACACCAGAGGUGCAGACGGCGCCCUGGGCCCGACCUGACGCUGAGACGCGAAAGCUUGGGGAGCGAACGGG
rnacentral:rRNA from 1 species